rnacentral:rRNA from 1 species
GACGAACGCUGGCGGCGUGCUUAACACAUGCAAGUCGAACGGAAAGGCCCUGCUUGCCGGGUACUCGAGUGGCGAACGGGUGAGUAACACGUGGGUGAUCUGCCCUGCACUUCGGGAUAAGCCUGGGAAACUGGGUCUAAUACCGGAUAGGAGCCAUUUUUAGUGUGAUGGUUGGAAAGUUUUUUCGGUGUAGGAUGAGCUCGCGGCCUAUCAGCUUGUUGGUGGGGUAAUGGCCUACCAAGGCGGCGACGGGUAGCCGGCCUGAGAGGGUGGACGGCCACAGUGGGACUGAGAUACGGCCCAGACUCCUACGGGAGGCAGCAGUGGGGAAUAUUGCACAAUGGGCGCAAGCCUGAUGCAGCGACGCCGCGUGGGGGAGGACGGCCCUCGGGUUGUAAACUCCUUUCGCUAGGGACGAAGCUUUUUGUGACGGUACCUAGAGAAGAAGCACCGGCUAACUACGUG